rnacentral:rRNA from 1 species
AUUGAACGCUAGCGGGAUGCCUUACACAUGCAAGUCGAACGAGUGGCGAACGGGUGAGUAAUGUAUCGGAACGUGCCCAGUAGCGGGGGAUAACUACGCGAAACGUAGCUAAUACCGCAUACUAUUGGAGCGGCCGAUAUCGGAUUAGCUAGUUGGUGGGGUAACGGCUCACCCAGGCGACGAUCCGUAGCGGGUUUGAGAGGAUGACCCGCCAAACUGGAACGGCGACACGGCCCAGACUCCGACGGGAGGCAGCAGGGGGGAAUUUGGGACAAUGGGGGAAACCCUGAUCCAGCCAGCCCGCGUGGGUGAUGAAGGCCUUCGGGUUGUAAAGCACUUUUGGCAGGAAAGCGGUACCUGCAGAAUAAGCACCGGCUAACUACGUGCCAGCAGCCGCGGUAAUAC